UCUUGGAUCGUAUGCUCGUGC
rnacentral:siRNA from 1 species